rnacentral:ncRNA from 1 species
GGUUCCGGCGUGACCGGCGCUCUUUUCAAAGGAACAUCUGGAGAGAAAGAAACCCAACCAAGCCCCACCCCUCCCGCCCGCUGGGACGGCCACCGCGGCCCUCGCUGCCGCCGCCGCGCAAACUCACUCGGGCGAGUGAACAUCGGCAACACGGCUGGAUUCGGGACUGGUUGCCUGCCCUACGCUCAGCGCAGCACCAUCACCACAAACAACCGUAGACAUGCGACGGCCCUCGCCGGGAAGGCAAUCCCAAGGCGAGGGCCUGACCACCGAGGAAGAGGCAACUUCCUG